GAUGAAGAACGCAGCGAAAUGCGAUAAGUAGUGUGAAUUGCAGAAUUCAGUGAAUCAUCGAAUCUUUGAACGCACAUUGCGCCCCUUGGUAUUCCAUGGGGCAUGCCUGUUCGAGCGUCAUUUGUACCUUCAAGCUUUGCUUGGUGUUGGGUGUUUGUCUCGCCUUUGCGUGUAGACUCGCCUUAAAAUAAUUGGCAGCCGGCGUAUUGAUUUCGGAGCGCAGUACAUCUCGCGCUUUGCACUCAUAACGACAGCGUCCAAAAGUACAUUUUACACUCUUGACCUCGAAUCAGGUAGGACUACCCGCUGAACUUAAGCAUAUCAAUAAGCGGAGGA
rnacentral:misc_RNA from 1 species